rnacentral:rRNA from 1 species
UACGAAGGGGGCUAGCGUUGCUCGGAAUCACUGGGCGUAAAGCGCACGUAGGCGGCUUUUUAAGUCAGGGGUGAAAUCCUGGAGCUCAACUCCAGAACUGCCUUUGAUACUGAGAGCUUGAGUUCGGGAGAGGUGAGUGGAACUGCGAGUGUAGAGGUGAAAUUCGUAGAUAUUCGCAAGAACACCAGUGGCGAAGGCGGCUCACUGGCCCGAUACUGACGCUGAGGUGCGAAAGCGUGGGGAGCAAACAGGGAUUAAGAUA